rnacentral:rRNA from 1 species
UCGAACGAUGAAGCCCAGCUUGCUGGGUGGAUUAGUGGCGAACGGGUGAGUAACACGUGAGUAACCUGCCCUGGACUCUGGGAUAAGCGUUGGAAACGACGUCUAAUACCGGAUAGGACCUUCGACCGCAUGGUUGGGGGUGGAAAGUUUUUCGGUCUGGGAUGGACUCGCGGCCUAUCAGCUUGUUGGUGAGGUAAUGGCUCACCAAGGCGUCGACGGGUAGCCGGCCUGAGAGGGUGACCGGCCACACUGGGACUGAGACACGGCCCAGACUCCUACGGGAGGCAGCAGUGGGGAAUAUUGCACAAUGGGCGAAAGCCUGAUGCAGCAACGCCGCGUGCGGGAUGACGGCCUUCGGGUUGUAAACCGCUUUUAGUAAGGAAGAAGGGGAGCUUGCUCCUUGACGGUACUUGCAGAAAAAGGACCGGCUAACUACGUGCCAGCAGCCGCGGUAAUACGUAGGGUCCGAGCGUUGUCCGGAAUUAUUGGGCGUAAAGAGCU